CCCGGAAGCACGGCCCCGGAAGCGGAGCCAUGGCGGCGGUGGCGGCAGCGCUGCUGCUGCUGCUGGCGGCGGCACUGGUGGGAGGCGACGACUCGGACUGGGUGCGGCUGCCCAGCAAGUGCGAGGGCUUGGAACCUGUGUCAGCGCACAGUGCUAGCCGCGGGCAGCAUCUGGCUAACUGGACCCAGCAGUGAGCGCUUCUAGCAUGUACUGGGGACGCUGCAGCAGGUGUGAUGUGGAGAGGGACGUCCUCGAGGCCCAAGUCCAGAGGGGAUGCAGGAAGGAGCAGCUGAGAAAUGUCUGUGGUCAUCUCCAGCCCUUGGUGCCAUCAGAGAAAGGAAAGUGCAGGAGGUGCGCAGGGUGUCUCGGCACGUGCAUGGCAGCCCUAGAGAAGCCACCUCGCUCUUUUCCUGCCUGUGGUGCAUCUCUUCGCUCACAUCAUUGCCUGGGAGAAGAUGCGGCGGCUUGUCGCUCUCAGACACUUCCUGCUGGGGCUUGGUCCUUCUCCCAAAGCCGGGAUUGAGGAAGAGGUGGCUCCGAGCAAACAGGAGCCCGCAGCACAGGACAAAGCUUUCUCCAGCUUCCUGGUACCCUGGCUUCGGGGGAGGAAGAGCCACGCUGUGCCUGGCUUCCAUCCAUCCAUCUCAUCCAUCCCACUUCCACUUGUAAACCUCUGAAAUAUUUCUCUCCUGCUCUCUGUUUCUAUAGCUCUGUUGGACUUUUUGUUACAGAAGAAAUAAAGCUUUUGUUUCCUUUU